CUGAGGUCCACAUCCUUAGCCCAGCUCGAAUGGCCCAGCUCGACAGAAAGUGAUUUCUUCUUUAGCCACCAUUGGAGGCCAGGAUGUGAAGAGAGUGACCUGGAACAUCUUGGGCAGGCUCUUCACAGAUGAGGUGUCUCAUCAGAUCAACUGGAAGGGUGUUAAUAACAAAAAGCCCUUCAGUAGGAUGGCAACGAAGACCUUGCUUUUCAGUGCUGUGAGGAAAAACACGCUGACACAGUCAGCCACGGAGGCGGAGGUCACCAAGCACGCAAUCAGGUGGUUCAACCUGGCAACGGAUCGGGCAACGAGGAGACGUGUCCUGCCUCCAUCCACACAAAUGGAGUAAUAGGAGAAAUAAGCAAUAAAAAACCUUUUUAUUGAACUUCUUUUUGUUCACCAGUUAUUCAUUUUCUGAUAUUUUAGCUGUGCAUACAGCAUUUCAUUGAAGUUGUAGCCUAAUAGAUCAAAUAUUUUAUGUUUGCAUACAUGUGACACCUAUAAGGUUGCUCAAUAAAGUGUUAACAACAUUUCAUCAGUUGUGUGUACAUCAUUCAGUAGGCUACUUAAAAACAGAAUAGGCUAUAACCUAUAACUGUCCAUAAAUUUAAAUAUCAAUGUUAUGUUUCCAUUGAGUAGUGAUUAGUGAUUGCUUUUGUACAAUAAAUUGAUGUCUUGACUUGAACAUUUUUUUAGGCCUAUUUUCAAUAGUUAGGUUAAAAAUACAAGCUUAGGCCUGUAUUGCUGUAGUAGCCUAGGGCUAUUGAUGGUUUUAGUUAUAUCCUAUUUUAUCCUAAAGCAAGAACAAAAGGGAUUUUGAAAAUUAGAUAAACCGGUCCAAAACGGAUCCGGGCCAGAUGAGCCAGGAUUUUUAUGAGUCCGUUGCGAGUCUGCGGCGGAUGUAUGUAUGAAUUUGCGGGCCCAAAACGGACCCGCCGCGGAGGUAAGGUUUUA